GGGGCCAUGGCGCAACGGUAGCGCGUUCGCCUCCAGAGCGAACGGUUGGGUGUUCGAAUCACUCUGGCCUCA